rnacentral:rRNA from 1 species
UCAAUAAGCGGAGGAAAAGAAACCAACAGGGAUUGCCUUAGUAACGGCGAGUGAAGCGGCAACAGCUCAAAUUUGAAAUCUGGCUCCUUCGGGGUCCGAGUUGUAAUUUGCAGAGGAUGCUUCGAGUUAUGGUUCCUUCCGAGUUCCCUGGAACGGGACGCCAUAGAGGGUGAGAGCCCCGUCUGGUAGGAAACCAUGCUCAUGUGAAGCUCCCUCGACGAGUCGAGUAGUUUGGGAAUGCUGCUCUAAGGGGAGGUAUACUCCUUCCAAGGCUAAAUACCGGCUAGAGACCGAUAGCGCACAAGUAGAGUGAUCGAAAGAUGAAAAGUACUUUGAAAAGAGAGUCAAACAGCACGUGAAAUUGUUAAAAGGGAAGCGCUCGCUACCAGACGUGGGUUCGGUGGUUCAACCAGGUCCAUGACCUGGGGCACUCCGCCGGCCCAGGCCAGCAUCAGCUUUCCGUCGGGGGCAAAGGCGUCGGGAAUGUGGCUCUCCUUCGGGGGAGUGUUAUAGCCCGUCGCGUCAUACCCUUCGGGGGGCUGAGGUACGCGCUCCGCAAGGAUGCUGGCGUAAUGGUAGCUAGUGACCCGUCUUGAAACACGGACCAAGGAGUCAACCUUAUGUGCGAGUGCCCGGGCGUAAAACCCCAGCGCGGAAUGAAAGUGAACGUAGGUGAGAGCUUCGGCGCAUCACCGACCGAUCCUGAUGUCCUCGGACGGAUUUGAGUGAGAGCAUAUAGGGUUGGACCCGAAAGAAGAUGAACUAUGCGUGUGUAGGGUGAAGCCAGAGGAAACUCUGGUGGAGGCUCGCAGCGGUUCUGACGUGCAAAUCGAUCGUCAAACAUGCGCAUGGGGGCGAAAGACUAAUCGAAUCUUCUGGUAGCUGGUUUCCGCCGAAGU